CGGAUAGAAAUGUAUAUUACUGGAAGACCAUUCGGAAAACGAGAAUUGCUUCGACUUAUCGAAAAUUCGAAUAAUAGAGUUUCGAGUUAUCGAAGUUCGACUGUAUAUACAUUGACUGUUGAGGAAUGCACUCUUCAUAAUGAUUUCCCAAAGUGCUCGUCUGCUGUUUGUGCUGAAGUGCAUUAUCCUGUGAAAUGUAAUGAGUCGAAAUUGAUAGCUGUCUUUUCAACAGGAGAAUACAGCCAUCAAUUUCUUUUCUUCAAUCAAAAUCUUUUCUCUGAAGCGGAUAGCGAUGUGACGAUUCCCUAAUUAUGCCCUUUUUGAAAUAAUUCUGCUCUUUGGGAAAAACGUUUAUCACAGGUGAAACGUCGACUUCCAACUCGUCGUGAUAAGAUUGAUGGUAGUGUAUACACAGUGCAUGCCUUCCCAUGAAAUACCGGAGUUACCCAGAAGACCUGUUUGUAUUACGGAGUGUGGUAACACAAAUCAGAAUUCGCGGAAAACAACGGUAAGGAGAUGGAACAGUCAGCUUUCUGUGACGGCUCUGACUUUACUGGAUAUAGGUUAAAACAGGAGGCUCUAGCCCCAGAAAUAUGAGGCUUCCCCCCAGUCCGACUUAACUUACGAGGCUUUAGACUCUUGGUCAGAAUAGUCUCUUGACUGCUAUAAAAAACUAGAGGUCGUUCGUUUAGGAUUUUCCGGUUGAAACUGAAUUAAAGUUUUUUGUCUGUAUCUCGUCAACCAUUGAUCGGAACGACGUAAGAGUGACAUAUUUGUGAUACAUUGGCAAUUCCGCACUUGACUGUUAUGAAAGAAAAAAUAUGAGGUCUGACCUUCUAGUUUAAUUUUGGUAUAUAAAUAUAGUAUACUUGCAGUCUAGCAUCCUAUCAUGCAGAGAAGUCUUCUAAAGGGUAAGUAUACGUGCAGUGCAGCAUCCUAGCAUGCAGAGAAGCCACCUAAAGGGUAAGAAUACUUGCAGAGAAGCAUUUCAAUGAUUACAGGAAAGUGUUCUAAAGGGUAAACACUAUUGCAGUGAAGCAGCAAAUGCACUUUAACAGUUGAUGACAUUAAUUAUAUACAUUCUAUCUGAUAAGAUAUAUAAAAUUUUCUUAUUAAUUAAUGUACCUGCGGCAGGCUGUAUCACUUUACUGGGGAAUAGGAUAAAUAUGAUUUUUAUGUAUUAUUGGUUUCCUAGUCAUUCCGCUGUUGUAUACGAAAUAUGAGAGAAUAUGAGGUCUAAAACCUUCUAUCCGGAUUAUCAGUAUAUCAAUCUUCUUAUACUGUCUUUAUAUGCAUCCAUAUCAAAUUUGGUGUCUCUAGCUGAAUUAGGGAAAAAGUCAUAAAAAUUGUCAUAAAAAACCUUUUGACAGUCAUAAAAAAUGGAAGAGAACUUUAAACUAAUAUGUCUUGUACUACUUGUAAUAAUGCAACAUGUGACAUAUUUUCAGAAUCAGCAUCUUAAGGUCUAUACAAUGGUAUUGUCAGUGUUCCCAAAUUUGGCACUUGGCCCACUCUUGUUAUCGGAACGGAAAAAUACUUUAGAAUUGUAUUAUACAUAUUCCAGUCAUUCAUAAAAGAUAUAUAUAUUAAUAUAAUUAAAGAGAUUAAAAAUUAAGUUUAAUCCUUAGAAAAUAAUGAAGGAAUUAAUUAAAAACUGACAUUAAUCUUAAUAACGUUCUUCACACCAAACUUUAUUUUUAAGUUGAGAGAUAAAACAUUCUCUGAUAAGAAUAUGAGUAAUAUCAUAAACAUUACUAAAGAUCUCAUGAAUAUACUUUCAUCUGAUAAGAAUAUGAUAAAGUUUAAAGUUUAAUGCAUUAGCCAAAGCUUAUUGUUAAGUUAAUAUGGUCAGUUAAUAUUUAAAUAUCACUAAUAAGUUGAUAUUAUUGGUAAAGAAAAAAAUGGAGUAAUAUUAAAAAAAGAUGUAAAAGUAGUUGCAGUGCAGUAUCCUGGAAGGGAGUAGAUCUACAGUGAAGCCUCCUAUAGGGUAAAUACACUUGCCGAGAAGUAUCCGAAGGGGCAAUAACAUUUGCAGAGAAGUAACCUAAAGGAUAUAAGACAUGCAGAGCUGUUUCCUUUUAGGGAAAAAGACUUGUAGUGAAGCAUCUGUAGUACCAACAUCAGAGAUAGAACUAAGUGUAAAUGGAAACUAUUUGUACUUAAUUAAUUAUUCCAAGAUAAAUUAAAUUUAACUUGUUACGAUAAAUAUCAAUAUGGUAAAUAAUAUAAAUAUCUGAUAUAUUUUUUAUCUUAGUCAGUAGAUGUCAAUUUCAUUUAGGUGUAUCAUAAUUACUUUGUUUUUAUCCUACUCAAUAGAUAUGCUUGGACUUAGAUCAUAUAUGACCUAUUGUAUUAGGGGAAAAGAAAGUUUUCUGAUUAGGAUGACAUCACUAGAUCACAUGUUGCCAUACUCAAUAGUAGUUAGAGUUAUAUCAUGUUAUUAAGAUGACAUCACUAGAUGAUAUGUUGCAGUAGCAGAGAAAAAAUCUUACUACUUUUUAUCCAACAAGAUCACAUCACUAGAUGACAUCAUAAUCAAUAGAAGUACUUGAAGUUAGAUCACUAGAUACAAUUUAUUCACUUUGUUCUUUUUUAUCCUUCUCAUUUGGAAUAAAAUCAAUAGAUGACUUAUUGUAAUAUCCGAUACAGGAAAAGAAAGACCUUUUUCUCAUAUGUUAUCCUCUUCUUUCUACUGCUACUGCAACAGAUAUUGAAAAUACAAGUGUACAAGAGACAUGUAGAUGUAUCAGUAGAUAAUCCAUAUUAGGUUCAAUUAGAGUACAUCAUAUUAGGUUCAUUUAGAGUCAACAUUACCUGGUAGCACUGUAAUACAAAUGUCUUUUUCUUAGAUGACUAAGAUUUAUUUCAUGUUUUAAAUUUUAACUUUGAAUAUUUAUGAAAAGUCAUUUUUUAUUCUACUCACUCGAACUUAGAUCAAUAGAUGAAUUAUUAUACUAGCUACAGUAAAAGAGAAAGACAUUUUUCUCUUUCGAGUAACUAUAACUUUUUUCUCCUUGUUAGGAAUAUAAUGACAUCUGGUGAGGAUUAAUGUGAUUAAUUGUUGUUUUAUAUACAGUAAUAAUUUCUAAAUAAUAAUAUCUCCAUCAAAAGAAAAAAGACCAACUUCCUGUUACAAAUGCGGACUCUUGUCACCAGAUUAUAACCAAUUAAAGUUGGCUGACAACCGGGUGUUUUUAUUUCGCAUCCUUCCUCUUUAAGAAAAUACAAUUAGAUUUCCAUUAUCUCAAUUAGUAUAGACACAGCGAAUUUUCUAGUACACCAUAUACCGAGUCAGUUCCUCGACCCCAGAAUGGAAAAUUCAAACAAAUGGCAAACUGUCAUAGUAGGUGUAUAGAGUAGAGUAGUAGACUUCCACAUCUGUCAGUCUAGUGUUGCCAUCUCUGGUAGACACAGAGUUACAGUCUUCCGCAAAUGAGACAAAGUGCGGAGAUGUGUUGUAGAAGCAAGGAUGUGUCUAUUGUAGCAAGCAAGCACAGUAGCAGGGGACCUUUCUUUCUUAUCAUAAUUCUUGUCGGAAUGUUUACUCUUUCUUUUCAUCACCUUUGGUCAUCUGAUAAGGAAAAAAAGGUCCUCUGCUACUUAACUGCUGCCUUGCUUCUUCAACC
rnacentral:lncRNA from 1 species